UCAUCUGACGGAGGAAGAAGGAGGAAGGACGCGGGCGGAAGGUACCGAUGGAUGGAUGGAUGGACCUGUGGGCGGAUGGAUGGAUGGCCGAGAGAUGUGCGGACAGCCGAGUUAAGGAAAAGAAAAACAAAGGGUGAAACAAACGGAGGAUUCUUUCAAAGAGGAAGCCGAAUACGUUCAUACCUCGGGGCCCACGGAGCAACAUUGCAAUAUCGUGUGUUCAAGAGAACGGUGCCUCAUUUCUACAGCAGUCGCAGGGACCAUUUUUUUUUUUAUAUAUCAACAGAACUUUAUUUAGUAAUAUCCUUUAGAGUAGAUGUAAGCCUCCUCAGGGAAACACAGGAAAUAUCUUCAAGAUUCACACCAGUAUUUUUCAGAGUUCUACCUGAAGAAAGUGCCUAAAGAAAUAUACAAUAGCUUUA
rnacentral:lncRNA from 1 species